rnacentral:rRNA from 1 species
AGUGAACGCUGGCGGUAGGCCUAACACAUGCAAGUCGAACGGCAGCACAGUAAGAGCUUGCUCUUACGGGUGGCGAGUGGCGGACGGGUGAGGAAUACAUCGGAAUCUACUUUUUCGUGGGGGAUAACGUAGGGAAACUUACGCUAAUACCGCAUACGACCUACGGGUGAAAGCAGGGGAUCUUCGGACCUUGCGCGAUUGAAUGAGCCGAUUUCGGAUUAGCUAGUUGGCGGGGUAAAGGCCCACCAAGGCGACGAUCCGUAGCUGGUCUGAGAGGAUGAUCAGCCACACUGGAACUGGGAAAAGGUCCAGACUCCUACGGGAGGCAGCAGUGGGGAAUAUUGGACAAUGGGCGCAAGCCUGAUCCAGCCAUGCCGCGUGGGUGAAGAAGGCCUUCGGGUUGUAAAGCCCUUUUGUUUGGAAAGAAAAGCAGCAGGUUAAUACCCCGCUGUUCUGACGGUACCCAAAGAAUAAGCACCGGCUAACUUCGUG